rnacentral:misc_RNA from 1 species
AAAAAAAGAUCAAUUAACUGUUUCAUACAAUUUCAUAAUGUAAUAUACAGAUUCGGGACAAAUUUGCAAUAUAGUUCUGAAGGAUCAUCUUCGGUAGCGGUAACGUUUGAAAUUGAAGUAGACAUGCAAAAUUCCACGUUCAAAUGUGCACUUGAAUCCCUUCUUAUGAGAAUAUUCCCAUUCUUUGUUUACAAUCCGGAAAGCUAUAUCUUCAUAGGGUGGGCCAGCAUGGAACCUUAUAAUGCAGGUCUCAUCACUGUUCCCAUCCUUCUCAAUGGUAUAAACUGGAGCUUUUGUCUUAUCCACAAGGUCUGGGUAGAAGAUAUUGAAUUUAUAUCCCUGGACAAUCUUUGGUGGCGGAUUGUCGUGAUCAUAAUGAGUCUGAUUGUAUUUGUUCCAUUCAUAUCCAGUGUGAACACGGUUGAAAUACUUGGGCUUUCGUGGUCGGUACUUAUCGUGCCACCAGUAUACCUGUGAGUCCAGAUUCACUUCAGCCCCAGAGCCAAACACUGCAUCACCUUCCUCCAUUGCCCCCAUAGCUUUAAUGGCUUUCAUCUCAAAGUUAUCUUCUGAUGGAGGUGGCUUUGAUGCCAUGGCAUCUUGAAUUCGUCUUUGUUGCUCCUCUAACACUGCCAUACGUUUGGUUUCCAGUAUAGCCCUAUCUUCUUCAGGAUCAAUUGCUUCUUCAUUUUCAUCACCAUGUAGCAGUUGAGGAGAAAAUGAUCCAGCUUCUUCUGCCUCAUGAGUCUCCUCCUCUGUCAGAGGUUCUGGAGAAAAAGUUUCAGCAUCUUUUAGAUCAUGCUCAUUCUCCUCCUCAAUAGGCCUUAAACUAUGAUCAUUUUCCAGCUUGUCACGAUCCUCCAUAGGUGGCUCAAGGCGUUGUAAAUGCUUGCGUAACAUCUUAGCAUGAAUUUCCUUCAAACAAGCCUUNNNNNNNNNNNNUGAAGUCGUUUGAGAACAGCCUCCCAGUACUCCACCACCUUUGCAGUGCCAGAACUCAUUUGUGACUCAAUUUGGGACCGUAAUGCGUCAAGCUCACUGGAAGUCUUCCCUUCCAAGAAAUUCCUGACGUCUGUUUCAAUGCUAGAAUGCAGACCCCUUUCUUCUGCAAGCAACUCAGCCGGAGGUUCCUCUCCACGCACCCUAGCCCGAUCCAAUGCAUCCUUUUUCUGAGCUUCAGCUAGCUCCCAAUUGCAAACCACCAAAAGGGCCUCCCAAUAAUCAAUGUGUGUCUGAGUUUUCCUAUCCAUAUCCAGAUGCAUUUUGAUGUCAUCACGAAGCUCUUCCAUCUCUUUUACUGUCAGACCCUUGAAAACCAUGUAUGGCUCAUUUAUUUCUAUAUCCAAAUCGUCUGAUACAUUGAGGUGCUUUGACAGAAUAUCUAUAGGUUUCAUUCGUCCUUCUUGCAGUCUGAUACAGGACCUGAUUUUGCUUUGAUCAAAAUGAAACUCCUCUUCUUUUUUCUCCCAAUCUUGGAACUCAGCCCUAGCACGUUCUCUAGCCAACAUCGCCAUUUCUUCCUCAUGCUGUGCCUUUUCAACUGCCCUUUCCUCUCUUCUCUUUUUCACCUUCUCAAUCUCCGCCAUUCUUUCUCUUUGCCUCUGCUUCUCAGCUUUAACAGAAAACAUGUCAAGUGGCACGCCUUGGGAAACAUCACGUUCAAUCUUCUUUCGCCACACAAAUUUCUCAUUAAGAUUGGAAUCACCAAAUGGAUUCGAAUCAUUGGAAUAGCCAGACACAGACUGUGCCUUCAAUUUCUUCGCGACUUUCAUAGCCUUUCUCUGAGCUUUCUUCGCCAAAUACUCAGCAAUUUCUUCUUCAGUAACCUUCCUCGAAGAGCUCUUCUUCUUCCGCCCGCGAUCGCUAUCGCUCCCAUCCCCAUCAUCAGACUCGUCGUAACUCCGGCUCCGUCGACGACUGCUACGACUGUGUCUGCUUCGGCUACGUCUACUCCUUUCUCUACGCUUGCCAGAGCUCCUCCUGGGCGAUGAGUCUCUGCUCUCAGAGUCGUCCGAGUAGGAAUCGGCGACGGAAUCGUCCGAUAUUCUAUGCCUACGCUUGGAAGGCGAUGAGGUAGCUUUAUCAUUCUUGUUCCUGCUGCCCAUAGAGCGCUAGGUGGUUG